rnacentral:tRNA from 1 species
AUAGGUAUAGCUAAGCUGGUUGAAAGCGACAUUUUGCUAAAAUGUUAAAUACGUUAUCGUAUUUCACGUGUUCAAAUCACGUUGCCUAAU